rnacentral:rRNA from 1 species
AGUGGCGGACGGGUGAGUAACGCGUGAGAAUCUGCCUUGGGGUCGGGGACAACCACUGGAAACGGUGGCUAAUACCGGAUAAGCCGAUUGGUGAAAGAUUUAUUGCCCGAAGAGGAGCUCGCGUCUGAUUAGCUAGUUGGUGAGGUAAGAGCUCACCAAGGCAGCGAUCAGUAGCUGGUCUGAGAGGACGAUCAGCCACACUGGGACUGAGACACGGCCCAGACUCCUACGGGAGGCAGCAGUGGGGAAUUUUCCGCAAUGGCCGAAAGCCUGACGGAGCAAGACCGCGUGGGGGAGGAAGGCUCUUGGGUUGUAAACCUCUUUUCUCAGGGAAGAAGCUCUGACGGUACCUGAGGAAUCAGCCUCGGCUAACUCCGUGCCAGCAGCCGCGGUAAUACGGAGGAGGCAAGCGUUAUCCGGAAUUAUUGGGCGUAAAGCGUCCGCAGGUGGCGAUUCAAGUCUGCUGUCAAAGCACGGGGCUUAACUCCGUAAAGGCAGUGGAAACUGAAUAGCUAGAGUGCCGUAGGGGUAGAGGGAAUUCCCGGUGUAGCGGUGAAAUGCGUAGAGAUCGGGAAGAACAUCGGUGGCGAAAGCGCUCUACUGGACGGCAACUGACACUCAGGGACGAAAGCUAGGGGAGCGAAUGGGAUUAGAUACCCC